GUGCGCUUAAACGUUUUUUAAAGACAUUUCUUCCACUCGCGAGGCGGACCAGACGAGGACGUUUCUUUUUAAAAGGGAAACGCCGAAAGUUAAAUGUUUUAUCUAAUUUAUAUGUAGUAUUUCACAACAUCAUAUUGAUUUAUGGCGAUAUUUGUGUGAUGUGCACUCCUAAACUUUUUCUCAGAGCGAUAUUUUCCUUCACUCAUGAUGCGGAGAAGACGGGGAAAUUGGUUUUAUCAAGGAAAACACCGAAAAUGCAUUUGAAUGGCUAUGUAUUGACACGGACGUCACUUUUAACAGGGGAAACAUAAGUAAGAGACAUUUUCUUUCACUGGAGAUGCGGAGCAGAGAGGGAAGUUGGUCUUCUCAAGGAAAACACUGAAUGGUUCAUGCUGGCUUAACAGAAAAAUCGAAAGGAGAUGAUGUGCUUGAAGAGUAUGAAGCCACCAGUACAUUAAGUGGGAUGAGAAGAGCUUUGUUAGGACACAUACCAGAGACAUGGGUAAGC